UGGGUGGAGGGGGGGGGGGGGUACUUGGAAGAAGUUUUUUUUUUACUAGUUGGACCUUGAGCCUUUUUGAUAGGUAGCCAAGCAGUUUAAGCCUUUCAACCAAACAUCCCACUCUAAUUUUAUGGGGCUGAUAAUAGUUCACUGUAUAUUAAUUCUAAACCAACCAAAUAAUUAUGAAAAAGUAUGUAUAAUUACAAGGUAUUGAUUUUAUUAAAAAUUCAUACUCAUAUGUAUUCAAAGAUUAAAAGCAACAGAAAAAAAGAAUUAUAUACAAA